rnacentral:rRNA from 1 species
GACGAACGCUGGCGGCGUGCCUAAUACAUGCAAGUUGAGCGAUGAAGCUUGGUGCUUGCACCAAUUUGAAGAGCAGCGAACGGGUGAGUAACGCGUGGGGAAUCUGCCUUUGAGCGGGGGACAACAUUUGGAAACGAAUGCUAAUACCGCAUAACAACUUUAAACAUAAGUUUUAAGUUUGAAAGAUGCAAUUGCAUCACUCAAAGAUGAUCCCGCGUUGUAUUAGCUAGUUGGUGAGGUAAAGGCUCACCAAGGCGAUGAUACAUAGCCGACCUGAGAGGGUGAUCGGCCACAUUGGGAAUGAGACACGGCCCAAACUCCUACGGGAGGCAGCAGUAGGGAAUCUUCGGCAAUGGACGAAAGUCUGACCGAGCAACGCCGCGUGAGUGAAGAAGGGUUUCGGAUCGUAAAACUCUGUUGGUAGAGAAGAACGUUGGUGAGAGUGGAAAGCUCAUCAAGUGACGGUAACUACCCAGAAAGGGACGGCUAACUACGUG